rnacentral:rRNA from 1 species
AAUCUUCCGCAAUGGACGAAAGUCUGACGGAGCAACGCCGCGUGAGUGAUGAAGGCUUUCGAGUCGUAAAGCUCUGUCCUAGGGGACGAUAAUGACGGUACCCUAGGAGGAAGCCCCGGCUACCUACGUGCCAGCAGCCGCGGUAAUACGUAGGGGGCGAGCGUUGUCCGGAAUUAUUGGGCGUAAAGGGUUCGCAGGCGGCCUUUUAAGUCAGAUGUGAAAGCCCACGGCUUAACCGUGGUAAGCAUUUGAAACUGGAAGGCUUGAGUUAAGGAGAGGAAAGUGGAAUUCCUAGUGUAGCGGUGAAAUGCGUAGAUAUUAGGAGGAAUACCAGUGGCGAAGGCGACUUUCUGGACUUAUACUGACGCUGAGGAACGAAAGCGUGGGGAGCAAACAG